rnacentral:lncRNA from 1 species
ACUGCCUUUGCUACUGCUUCUUUUUUGUUUCCAUGAUGCUGCUAGAAAUUUUUUAUUUGAUUGAAUCAAAUUCUCAGUAGCUAUAUGAAUAAAUAUAUUCAAGCAUGAACACUCCGAAGAAAGAAGAAAUGAUCGACUCAAAAAAGUAGAAUUUUCAACCUGCAAGUGCAGACAAAAUAAUUUUAAGGAAAAAUUUGAACUCAAGCAACAAUUUGUUCAAGCCUAUCUUUUUGUAAUGCUAGUGGGAUGGUCUUGUG